CUGGGAGCCAUUCCCUGUGUCCUGUCCCUCCAGCCCUUGGCAAUUGUCUCUCUCCAUCUUUGCUGCAGCUCCUUCAGGCCCUGCAGGGCCACCCUGAGCUCAGCCCAAAGCUUCUCCUGUGCAGGUUAAAGUCCAUUCUCACCUCAUCAGAAAAUGAAUAUACAUGCAUGUGUGCUGUAGCUAAGACUGAAAGGAUAAUUGCUUCCACUUGCCUGACCAUUGGAUAAAAUUAUUUGCAGAGUUACAGGCAACUCCUGUGAAUGCUGAGAAGAGAUUAAAGAUAAAAUUGUUUGUGCUGAUAUCUCAAGGAAGUGAGCAAUGGUGGGAUUAAGGAAUGUGGAAUUCCAAGGAGCCAGCUGAAGAUGGAACUGACUGAAGUAUGAGGGAUGGCUUUGUGCUCCUGCUGAAGGUGGAGGGAGCCCACAAACUCACACUUUAUGUGCUUUGGCUUCUCUUUGCAGCAGGGGAGUUUUUAGGGCAAAUGUGGGGGAGAGAUCUGUGUAAAAUGAGAUGGGAAUUUGUGUCUGCUGGAGCUGGAAGCUCAAAGCCUGAAGCCUUGAGGUUCCUGACAGGAAGAUUUGUUCACACUGUUCUCAUCCCUGGAAGGACAUGGAGUGCAGGUCUCAGAAUCUCCUUCUUCUGGCUCUCAGCCUCCAUCAGUGCUCUGACUCUGCAAUGUAUUAAUUGUAUGAAGUGCACAGUGUCCUGCUGCAUCCAUUCACCUGAGCCCUGCAUUGGGCUUUUCCCCUGCAAAGUCACAAUUUCUUCCUGGCACCAAAAUCCUAAAGAGGACAGAUUUGUAGUGGUGUGGUUGUGUGCAACAGCUGUGGAGGGAGGAACUCCCACUGGCCCCUCAGUCAAAAGGAAUCCAAGAAAUUAAG